rnacentral:lncRNA from 1 species
UAAUAUGUCUAAUUUUUUGUAUCUCUCUAAAUUUUUUGUGGAUUUUUUUUUUGUCUUAAGUUUUCAGAUGCUUUACUGUUAUAUGCUUAAGUGUGAUACUCUGUGUAUUUAUCCUAUUUGGAGCUUGUGAAAUUUCUUGUAUCAAUGGCUUAGUGUCUUUCAUCAUUUAAAAAAGAAUUCAUAGCCAUUAUCUCUUCAAAUAAUACUCUUCCCAGAUUCUUUUUUUUUUCCUACUUCUGGG